GAUGAACGCUAGCGGCAGGCUUAAUACAUGCAAGUCGUGGGGCAGCAUGAAUGUAGCAAUACAUUUGAUGGCGACCGGCAAACGGGUGCGGAACACGUACACAACCUUCCUAUAAGUGGGGAAUAGCCCAGAGAAAUUUGGAUUAAUACCCCGUAACAUAACGAUGUGGCAUCACAUUGUUAUUAUAGCUUCGGCGCUUAUUGAUGGGUGUGCGGCUGAUUAGAUAGUUGGCGGGGUAACGGCCCACCAAGUCUACGAUCAGUAGCUGAUGUGAGGGCAUGGCCGGCCACAAGGGCACUGAGACGCGGGCCCGACUCCUACGGGAGGGGGCAGUAAGGAAUAUUGGUCAAUGGACGCAAGUCUGAACCAGCCAUGCCGCGUGAAGGAUUAAGGUCCUCUGGAUUGUAAACUUCUUUUAUCUGGGACGAAAAAAGGCUUUUCUAAGUCACUUGACGGUACCAGAUGAAUAAGCACCGGCUAACUCCGUGCCAGCCGCCGCUGUAACAC
rnacentral:rRNA from 1 species